rnacentral:rRNA from 1 species
AUACGGAGGGUGCAAGCGUUAAUCGGAAUUACUGGGCGUAAAGCGCGCGUAGGCGGUUUGGUCAGUCAGAUGUGAAAGCCCUGGGCUCAACCUGGGAACUGCAUUUGAUACUGCUGAACUAGAGUGUGGUAGAGGGAAGUGGAAUUCCGGGUGUAGCGGUGAAAUGCGUAGAUAUCCGGAGGAACAUCAGUGGCGAAGGCGACUUCCUGGACCAACACUGACGCUGAGGUGCGAAAGCGUGGGUAGCAAACAGGAUUAGAUACCCCAGUAGUCC